UAAGACUCUGUAGGCAUAGCAAUGCUUAAUGUUUUUUGUGCAAUAUUUCAUGUUUUUUUUUUAACCACUUCAUACCACAACAGAACAUUACUUAGUUUAAGAAGACCAGUGUACAAUUUUUUGAAGCUUGUUAAUUUAGUGGACAUCCACUGCAAUUUAUGAUAUUGUAUUAUUGAAAGAAGAAUCUCAAAAUUGGUUGAUUGGAACACAAGGAACUCUCAAAUAAAACUCUAUAUAUAGCUUUAAAUAAUCCAUUAACAAUUAUUUACAUGCAAAGUCUGUUUUAUGUUUUUCAUUUUAUAUACAUGUAGUUGUGCAAUUUUUAAUACAUUAAAUAAAGUACCAAACAUGCAAUUAUCUA
rnacentral:misc_RNA from 1 species